UAGAACGAUUUCGAUCUAUUCUGUGUGCAACUGUAUAACAGCAUGACGCCUUGUAUCGCUGUUUGCGCUUACUCCGUCCUCUUUGCUGCCAUUUUCAUCAUGAUGGUACCAGAAAUUGAAGCAGCAGCGACGUGCACAACAAGUUGUACAACUAGUAAUACAUAUUGCGGACCCGGCUGCCAAUGCGUGAGUGUAUACAAUGGGCCUUUCCAAACCAUCGUGCGCUGCCAGCCACACCGGGGAUGAACCUACAUUUGAAGCUGAACUACCGAUUCCAUACGCUCAGCAAUGAAGUUCUGUUCAACAUAGAACUACACAAUUAAAAGGACAUGCCACUUCUUCAA